rnacentral:rRNA from 1 species
CUAACACAUGCAAGUCGAGCGGUAACAGAGAGUAGCUUGCUACUUUGCUGACGAGCGGCGGACGGGUGAGUAAUGCUUGGGAACAUGCCUUGAAGUGGGGGACAACAGUUGGAAACGACUGCUAAUACCGCAUAAUGUCUACGGACCAAAGGGGGCUUCGGCUCUCGCCUUUAGAUUGGCCCAAGUGGGAUUAGCUAGUUGGUGAGGUAAUGGCUCACCAAGGCGACGAUCCCUAGCUGGUUUGAGAGGAUGAUCAGCCACACUGGGACUGAGACACGGCCCAGACUCCUACGGGAGGCAGCAGUGGGGAAUAUUGCACAAUGGGCGCAAGCCUGAUGCAGCCAUGCCGCGUGUGUGAAGAAGGCCUUCGGGUUGUAAAGCACUUUCAGUCAGGAGGAAAGGUUAGUAGUUAAUACCUGCUAGCUGUGACGUUACUGACAGAAGAAGCACCGGCUAACUCCGUGCCAGCAGCCGCGGUAAUACGGAGGGUGCGAGCGUUAAUCGGAAUUACUGGGCGUAAAGCGUACGCAGGCGGUUUGUUAAGCGAGAUGUGAAAGCCCCGGGCUCAACCUGGGAACUGCAUUUCGAACUGGCAAACUAGAGUGUGAUAGAGGGUGGUAGAAUUUCAGGGUGUAG